CCUCGCCUACGGGACGCAGCAGUGGGGAAUAUUGCACAAUGGAGGAAACUCUGAUGCAGCGAUGCUGCGUGAGGGAAGAAGGUUUUCGGAUUGUAAACCUCUGUCUUAAGGGACGAUAAUGACGGUACCUUAGGAGGUAGCUCCGGCUAACUACGUGCCAGCAGCCGCGGUAAUACGUAGGGAGCGAGCGUUGUCCGGAAUUACUGGGUGUAAAGGGAGUGUAGGCGGGAUGGUAAGUUAGGUGUGAAAUGCGGAGGCUCAACCU
rnacentral:rRNA from 1 species